rnacentral:rRNA from 1 species
AACUACAAAGGAAUUGACGGGGGCCCGCACAAGCGGUGGAGCAUGUGGUUUAAUCGAGGCAACGCGAAGAACCUUACCUGGGCUUGACAUCCCGUGUUACCCCUGGAAACAGGGGGUCCUCUUCGGAGGCACGGUGACAGGUGUUGCAUGGCUGUCGUCAGCUCGUGUCGUGAGAUGUUGGGUUAAGUCCCGCAACGAGCGCAACCCUUAUUCUUAGUUACCAGCGGUUCGGCCGGGAACUCUAGGAAGACUGCCCGUGAUAAGCGGGAGGAAGGUGGGGACGACGUCAAGUCAUCAUGGCCCUUACGUCCAGGGCUACACACGUGCUACAAUGGCCGGUACAGUGGGUUGCGAAGCCGCAAGGUGAAGCUAAUCCCAAAAAGCCGGUCUCAGUUGGGAUUUGAGUCUGCAACUCGACUCCAUGAACCUGGAAUCGCUAGUAAUCGCGUAUCAGCUACGACGCGGUGAAUACGUUCCCGGGCCUU